ACCUGGUCUUGACAUCUCGGGAAUCAUUUGGAAACAUAUGAGUGCCUCGCAAGAGGAGCCCGAUGACAGGUGCUGCAUGGCUGUCGUCAGCUCGUGUCGUGAGAUGUUGGGUUAAGUCCCCGCAACGAGCGCAACCCUCGCCUUAGUUGCCAGCAUUAAGUUGGGCACUCUAAGGAGACUGCCGGUGUUUAAACCCGGAGGAAGGCGGGGAUGACGUCAAGUCCUCAUGGCCCUUAUGUCCAGGGCUACACACGUGCUACAAUGGCCGGUACAAAGGGUAGCAAGACCGCGAGGUGGAGACCAACCCCAAAAAGCCGGUCUCAGUUCGGAUUGGAGUCUGCAACUCGACUCCAUGAAGUUGGAAUCGCUAGUAAUCGUGGAUCAGCAUGCCACGGUGAAUACGUUCCCGGGCCUU
rnacentral:rRNA from 1 species